GACGAACGCUGGCGGCGUGCUUAACACAUGCAAGUCGAACGGAAAGGCCCUGCUUUUGUGGGGUGCUCGAGUGGCGAACGGGUGAGUAACACGUGAGUAACCUGCCCUUGACUUUGGGAUAACUUCAGGAAACUGGGGCUAAUACCGGAUAGGAGCUCUUGCUGCAUGGUGGGGGUUGGAAAGUUUCGGCGGUUGGGGAUGGACUCGCGGCUUAUCAGCUUGUUGGUGGGGUAGUGGCUUACCAAGGCUUUGACGGGUAGCCGGCCUGAGAGGGUGACUGGCCACAUUGGGACUGAGAUACGGCCCAGACUCCUACGGGAGGCAGCAGUGGGGAAUAUUGCACAAUGGGCGGAAGCCUGAUGCAGCAACGCCGCGUGCGGGAUGACGGCCUUCGGGUUGUAAACCGCUUUCGCCUGUGACGAAGCGUGAGUGACGGUAAUGGGUAAAGAAGCACCGGCUAACUACGUG
rnacentral:rRNA from 1 species